rnacentral:misc_RNA from 1 species
ACAAACUUGGUCAUUUAGAGGAAGUAAAAGUCGUAACAAGGUUUCCGUAGGUGAACCUGCGGAAGGAUCAUUAUCGAGUUAGGGUGUCUCAAUCGCAGCGCCCGACCUCCAACCCUUUGCUUACUUGACCUUUUGUUGCUUCGGCAGGCCCGCCCAUUCGUGGGCCGCCGGGGGUGAACCUCAAAGACUCACUCCUGGCCCGCCUGCCUGCCGAUGGCCCAAAACUUCAAACACUUGUUAAAACGUGUCGUCUGAGUGAUUGUUAUAAAACAAAUAAUUAAUCAAAAACUUUCAACAACGGAUCUCUUGGUUCUGGCAUCGAUGAAGAACGCAGC